UACGGAAUGUGCAAACGUUAUUCGGAAUCACUGGGCUUAAAGAGUCCGUAGGCGGCUUGUUAGGUGAGGUGUGAAAUCCCUUGGCCCAACCAAGGAAUUGCGCUUCAAACCGGCGAGCUUGAGGAGGAUAGAGGUGGGCGGAACUGAUGGUGGAGCGGUGAAAUGCGUUGAUAUCAUCAGGAACACCGGAGGCGAAAGCGGUCCACUGGGUCCUUUCUGACGCUGAGGGACGAAAGCUAGGGGAGCGAACGGG
rnacentral:rRNA from 1 species